UCAUCCACCAAAAAUGGAGCCCCCACGCAGCAGCGGUUCCAUUUUGCCGCUGCGCGAUUUACCUCAUCGCCAGAAAACUUGACACCAUGCCAUGCUCUUGAACGCUACAUGGAAGAAACUCCGGUGUGCUCGAACCUAUAUCAACACCCCACUGAUUGUUGUCGUCUCCGCUGCUGUACAGUGAGUGUGGAAUUGGCGCUGCUCCGUUGAUCGCAGACCCUGUCAUCACCCAUAGUCGAUGUCGGCCACCGUCAACUUCGUCUCCUGCUACAACUAACCCUGAUGUUCUCUUGUGAUGCUUGUAUCGAUUGUUUGCUGACGUUAGAAGUGGAGCUACAUGAGGAGUAUAUCUUUGAGAAGUGGAACCAUCGGCAAGUUUUGGAAGCCAAGUGUAACAUGAGUUCCAUUGUUACCUAAUAAACUAUUUAAUCACAUCUUCAUGUGCAUGAGUCUAAUAUGAUAAACCCCUAAGGACUUUGCCUAGAACUAUUGUAUCUUGUAUCCUUGUUUACCCUGGGGUUAUGCAUAUGGGUAGUUUGCUUAGUUUGCAAUCACCAAACUGUAUAAUAUUAAUACUGAUUAAUGAUUAUGGAAUCAAUAUUACAAUGAUGCUUUCUAGCAACAUGG